rnacentral:piRNA from 1 species
UGUCCAUCAAAGAACAAGCAAGGGUGUC